GCCUCUGUGGUGUAGUGGUAGCAUGCGUCCCCGGUAUGGAUGAAAUGCGGCUCGACUCCCACCUGAGAUC